GACGAGCGCUGGCGGCGUGCCUAAUACAUGCAAGUUGAGCGCUGAAGGUUGGUACUUGUACCCACUGGAUGAGCAGCGAACGGGUGAGUAACGCGUGGGGCAUCUGCCUUUGAGCGGGGGACAACAUUUGGAAACGAAUGCUAAUACCGCAUAAAAACUUUAAACACAAGUUUUAAGUUUGAAAGAUGCCAUUGCAUCACUCAAAGAUGAUUCCGCGUUGUAUUAGCUAGUUGGUGAGGUAAAGGCCCACCAAGGCGAUGAUACAUAGCCGACCUGAGAGGGUGAUCGGCCACAAUGGGACUGGGACACGGCCCAAACUCCUACGGGAGGCAGCAGUAGGGAAUCUUCGGCAAUGGACGAAAGUCUGACCGAGCAACGCCGCGUGAGUGAAGAAGGUUUUCGGAUCGUAAAACUCUGUUGGUAGAGAAGAACGUUGGUGAGAGUGGAAAGCUCAUCAAGUGACGGUAACUACCCAGAAAGGGACGGCUAACUACGUG
rnacentral:rRNA from 1 species